UGGGCGAAAGCCUGAUCCAGCCAUGCCGCGUGUGUGAAGAAGGUCUUCGGAUUGUAAAGCACUUUAAGUUGGGAGGAAGGGCAUUAACCUAAUACGUUGGUGUUUUGACGUUACCGACAGAAUAAGCACCGGCUAACUCUGUG
rnacentral:rRNA from 1 species